AUUGAACGCUGGCGGAAUGCUUUACACAUGCAAGUCGAACGGUAGAGGGGGCAACCCCUUGAGAGUGGCGAACGGGUGAGUAAUAUAUCGGAACGUGCCCAGUCGUGGGGGAUAACGUAGCGAAAGUUACGCUAAUACCGCAUACGAUCUAAGGAUGAAAGCGGGGGAUCGCAAGACCUCGCGCGACUGGAGCGGCCGAUAUCAGAUUAGGUAGUUGGUAGGGUAAAGGCCUACCAAGCCAACGAUCUGUAGCUGGUCUGAGAGGACGACCAGCCACACUGGAACUGAGACACGGUCCAGACUCCUACGGGAGGCAGCAGUGGGGAAUUUUGGACAAUGGGCGAAAGCCUGAUCCAGCCAUUCCGCGUGCAGGAUGAAGGCCCUCGGGUUGUAAACUGCUUUUGUACAGAACGAAAAGGUUUCUAUUAAUACUAGGAGCUCAUGACGGUACUGAAAGAAUAAGCACCGGCUAACUACGUG
rnacentral:rRNA from 1 species